GCCUGGCUUUCGCGGCCGGCUGAAGUAUUUUUUUCACCCAUGUCUUUUGCGCACUUGUUGUUUCCUGGGCGGGUUCGCCCGCCACCAGGACCAAACCAUAAACCUUUUUUUUCUUAUGCAGUUUCCAUCAGCGUCAGUAAAAACAAUGUAAUUAUUACAACUUUCAACAACGGAUCUCUUGGUUCUGGCAUCGAUGAAGAACGCAGCGAAAUGCGAUACGUAGUGUGAAUUGCAGAAUUCAGUGAAUCAUCGAAUCUUUGAACGCACAUUGCGCCCUUUGGUAUUCCAAAGGGCAUGCCUGUUCGAGCGUCAUUUGUACCUUCAAGCUUUGCUUGGUGUUGGGCGUUUUUUUGUCUCCCUCUUUCUGGGAGACUCGCCUUAAAACGAUUGGCAGCCGGCCUACUGGUUUCGGAGCGCAGCACAUUUUUUGCGCUUUGUAUCAGGAGAAAAGGACGGUACUCCAUCAAGACUCUACAUUUUUCACUUUUGACCUCGGAUCAGGUAGGGAUACCCGCUGAACUUAAGCAUAUCAAUAAGCGGAGGAA
rnacentral:misc_RNA from 1 species